UACGGGGGGGGCAAGCGUUGUUCGGAAUUACUGGGCGUAAAGGGCUCGUAGGCGGCCAACUAAGUCGGAUGUGACAUCCCCAGGCUCAACUUGGGAACUGCAUCCGAUACUGGAUGGCUUGAAUUCGGGAGAGGGAUGCAGAAUUCCAGGUGUAGCGGUGAAAUGCGUAGAUAUCUGGAGGAAUACCGGUGGCGAAGGCGGCAUCCUGGACCGACAUUGACGCUGAGGAGCGAAAGCUAGGGGAGCAAACGGG
rnacentral:rRNA from 1 species